UGGAAAUGUUCCGAGAAGGAUGUUGAUGAUCUUCUAUUGAUUGAUCUGAUUUUAACUUGAAUCUAUCAAGAAGGCUUUUCAGAAGAAAAAAGAUAGAAAUAUGCAAUUGCCAAAGUCUCCUAGACGCAACUAAUAAUAAAUAUACCGCUUCUUUGGUCCAAUUGUUGAUUUGAUGCGGACUUUACGUGUUUUUCUUCAUUUGAGUCCGCAGUCGCAGGCUCCCGCCCCGCAGGCCCCGCGCCCGCCGUCCCGCAGCCGCAGGCUCCCGC